rnacentral:rRNA from 1 species
UGGGGAAUAUUGGACAAUGGGCGCAAGCCUGAUCCAGCCAUACCGCGUGGGUGAAGAAGGCCUUCGGGUUGUAAAGCCCUUUUGUUGGGAAAGAAAUCCAGCUGGUUAAUACCCGGUUGGGAUGACGGUACCCAAAGAAUAAGCACCGGCUAACUUCGUGCCAGCAGCCGCGGUAAUACGAAGGGUGCAAGCGUUACUCGGAAUUACUGGGCGUAAAGCGUGCGUAGGUGGUCGUUUAAGUCUGUUGUGAAAGCCCUGGGCUCAACCUGGGAACUGCAGUGGAAACUGGACGACUAGAGUGUGGUAGAGGGUAGCGGAAUUCCUGGUGUAGCAGUGAAAUGCGUAGAGAUCAGGAGGAACAUCCAUGGCGAAGGCAGCUACCUGGACCAACACUGACACUGAGGCACGAAAGCGUGGGGAGCAAACAGGAUUAGAUACCCUGGUAGUCCACGCCCUAAACGAUGCGAACUGGAUGUUGGGUGCAAUUUGGCACGCAGUAUCGAAGCUAACGCGUUAAGUUCGCCGCCUGGGGAGUACGGUCGCAAGACUGAAACUCAAAUGAAUUGACGGGGUCAUAGC